GGUCUGCACAGCCUGAGACUGAAUGUUCAAAGUAAAGUCAAGUCUGCAGAUCCCGAGGUCUUGCUCACUUUCGUCAGUUCACAAGAAAUGGCAUCAGAGGUGGUUUUGGAGAGUUGUAGCAAGAAUGGAGAGACAAGAACAUGACAGUCAGCGGUCACCAGAAACCUUUGUAUAGGUCAGUGCAGUAACAGGUGCUUGAAAUGGAGGAGGAGAUUUAAAACAUAGAGAACACUGCUUCCACUUGGGUCCAUGCAGGACUGAGAGGCACAUCUGCUGCUGUCUUAGCCCCUGAAAUCAGUCUCAAGUACAGGAGGCCUAGGAAGAAUGCUAAUCCUAUGUGUCAAGUUGUCAGACUCGAGAAUCACCUAGAAGACAAACAUCUGGGCACAUCUGUGAGGGUGUUGCUAGAUUGUGUUAAUCGAGGUGGGAACACCCUCCUGACUGUGGGGCGCAUCAUGCCACGGGCCAGGGUCCCCAGCUGAAUGGAAAGGAGAAGGAGCGCUCAGACCCAGCACUCACCCCUCCAGAGCUAGCUGCUUCCUGAGGGCAAAUGCAGCUGCUGCCUUCACCCCACUUCUGUGCCUUCCACACCAUGAUGGACUGUUAUCCUCAAACUGGAAGGCAAAAUAAACCUCUUCUUCCUCAAGUGGCUUCCCGUCUGGUAUUUGCUCCCAGCAACAAGAAACUAAUGCACAGGAAGAUUGAAAGUUUAAGGCCAGCCUGGGCUACCCAGGCAGACUGCUUAAAACAAAAAUGAAUUAAAACAAGCAAACAAAUAAACCAUUCUGGAUGUAAAGCAA